ACAGGCGAUGUAGCAUUUGUAGUCACAGAGCCAACUGGUGAAGCAGACGCUGAAAUGGACGCUUCGAUUACUCCCUUCAACAUCUUCUCUGGUGUUACAGGCACUGGCUUUUCAGAUUUACUGGAAGUCAGCCGUACAGCAUUUGAGGCUUCAACAGUCUCCUCGUCAACUGUGUCAGCUCGACUCUGGUCAAGCCCAUUCUCAUCCUUUGUAUGGUCCUUGUGUUCAUCGACUUCAGCAGGUUCAUUCCCAGCCAAAGGAGAAACCACAAACGAGGCUUCAACAGCCUCCUCGUCAACUGUGUCAGCUCGACUCUGGUCAAGCCCAUUCUCAUCCUUUGUAUGGUCCUUGUGUUCAUCGACUUCAGCAGGUUCAUUCCCAGCCAAAGGAGAAACCACAAAAGAUGUUCUUGUACGGCGAGCUAUUGUUGUAUGAUCGGCAACCUCCUCAGGUGGCGACUUUAUCUUAGCUGACCGUCCUCUUCUUAAAGAAGGCACUUUACAGUUGUUCGACGAAUCA
rnacentral:lncRNA from 1 species